AGUUUGGGCAUGCAAAACACUGAAUAUGCUGUGGAGGAAUACCUUUUUUAUGCCCAUCAUUUUCAUUUAGCUGGAAGAGAAAAUUAUCUGCUUAGGAAAAAAAUUAAGACAAGAAACCAGUUCCAGUUCUCAUGUCCUCCCAUUCCUCUCUAAUUUCUGUGUUAGUAUUUUCACUUUUAGGUUGUCAGCUACCACAUCAGUAUUUAUCUACAGCCUACCCCCCUCUGCACUUCAGCUCACAAGACACUAGGAACUGGCCAAAGUACCACGGUCAAAGCCAGCUACUCAUCCACGCUUACUACACCAUCAACUUCUCCAUCCCCUUCUUGCACCACUGGGAGCAAGCAUCUUCCCAGGGACUAUGGGCUCCAGCAACUCUUAGCCAUUUCCUCUACCCAGGCUCUCAGAUAAAGCUCCCUCUGUCAAUAAAGCAGCUCUUUUACCUCAUGUCAGUUCUUCCCUAAUCUUGCUAACCUUUAACUCCCCAAAAUGCUGCUCCUCAGAGUAGCCUGAAAGGUCUGUGACUUUUGUAGAAGUCAACUCCUUCCACCUGCUUUGCCUUCUACAUCAACUUCAGAGCUCUGCCUUCAGGGCAAAAAUCCUUUAGUUCUCCUUCUGAUAUUUUUGCUUCCUUCUUUCUGUAUCACUGCAAGAAUCUUCAUUAUAUGCUUAGAGUUUUGACUAGGAUUAUCUCCCUUACACAAAGUAAUCCCAUCUUCUCACUGUCUGCAAGAGACACUCAGUGCCUUCCCCCUACCUUGGCUGCUUCUCCUGCUAAUGUCCCUGGACACAUCAGAGGCACAGAACUCUGAAGCAAUGGAAAAAGAGCAGGGACAAACUACGAUGCAAUCUUUCAGCUUGUCAGGUAUGACUACAUAUCAAGAGUUAUUACUACAAGCAAAAUUUAGUCUGGUUUUCAGAAUGUCUAAAACUGAAUGUCCAAAUUUAAUGUGGCUUUUGGAGACUAGGAGAGAAUAUUUGUUAUCAAAACACCCAACUUUAAAAAUGCUAUCCAUUAUCCAAUUGAACACCAGACUGCUUAAAUAAAACCCCCAUCUCCUUUCUGCUGCUUCUCUUCACUGUCACUUAUUUCAUCCUAAAUUCUUGCCUUUACCUUUCAGAGUUUUGGAAAUGCAAAAAAGGGGAAUACCUAUUGACAACACCAAUAGAUGGACAAGAGGCUCAAGACAGAACUAUGGUCCUCCUGAAAGCAUACCAAAACAUAGAACCUAAAGCCUGUCCCACCAGCAAGGAGAUGUUGGGAGAUACAGCUGGGACAGCUGACCUCAACUGGCGAAAGGGACAUCCCAUAGCAUAAGACAUCAUGCUCAGAAAUAAAAACUGGGUGGAGGAGGAAGGGGAGACAGUUGGGAAGACAAAUGCCAUCACUCCAAGUAACCAUCAUGUGUGAUAGAGCUCUGCCUGUUGAUUCCUUAUUUUGCUUUGCAUGUGCAUGCAGCUUUUGCUUUACUUAUUAAACUGCUUUUACCUCAGCCCAGUCUUCUCACUUUUACCCUUCCCUCUUCCACAUCCCACUAGGGUGAGUGAGCAGCUGUGUGGGGCUGAGCUGCCUAUGGGGGUUAACCCAUGACAUUCCCUUCAACUUCUCACCACCUUGCCCAUGGACACGUUCAGUAGUUAAAAGGCAGUAUCUGCUGGAACUGAACACAGGCACACUGAGUACUGACUAGCAAGAUCAGCUAUGAACAGAUAGCCUACAGCUUUUGCUCCUGUUUCCCUACAUCAGGGGCUUUUCUUUUUAUUUUACCAUCAAAUUGUGUAACAGAGUCUUUUGCUUUAUUUCAAGUUUGGAUGAAGAUACAACUAAACUGGAGUACAGAAAUCUUACUUCUCAAAAAACCCCAUAUACUAAAAAAUGCACGACAAGAGGAAGACAUCAAUUCUGAAUGAAAAAAACAAACCACAAACAC